rnacentral:rRNA from 1 species
CCUACGGGAGGCAGCAGUGGGGAAUAUUGCACAAUGGGGGAAACCCUGAUGCAGCGACGCCGCGUGAGUGAAGAAGUAAUUCGUUAUGUAAAGCUCUAUCAGCAGGGAAGAAAAUGACGGUACCUGAGUAAGAAGGCCCGGACAACUACGUACCAGCAGCCGCGGUAAUACGUAGGGGGCAAGCGUUAUCCGGAUUUACGGGGGGUAAAGGGAGCGUAGACGGGAGGGCAAGUCUGGAGUGAAAGGCGCGGGGUCAACCCCAGGACUGCUCUGGAAACUGUACGGCUGGAGUGCGGGAGAGGUAAGUGGAAUUCCUAGUGUAGCGGUGAAAUGCGUAGAUAUCAGGCGGAACACCAGUGGCGAAGGCGGCUUACUGGACCGUAACUGACGUUGAGGCUCGAAAGCGUGGGGAGCAAACAGGAUUAGAUACCCCGGUAGUC